rnacentral:rRNA from 1 species
ACGCUCGACACCUACGGGAGCAGCAGUCGGGAAUAUUGCGCAAUGGAGGAAACUCUGACGCAGUGACGCCGCGUGCAGGAAGAAGGUUUUCGGAUUGUAAACUGCUUUAGACAGGGAAGAAAGAAAUGACAGUACCUGUAGAAUAAGCUCCGGCUAACUACGUGGCAGCAGCCGCGGUAAUCUGAGCGGGCUGGCAAGGC